rnacentral:rRNA from 1 species
UUUCCUACGGGAGGCAGCAGUGGGGAAUCUUGGACGAUGGGGCCAACCGUGAUCCAGCCAAGCCGCGUCCGGGAUGAAGGCCCUCGGGUUGUAAACCGAUUUAGUCAGGGAAGAAAAGACUCUUUUUAAUACAGGGGGAUCAUGACGGUACCGGAAGAAUAAGCACCGGCUAACUACGUGCCAGCAGCCGCGGUAAUACGUAGGGUGCAAGCGUUAAUCGGAAUUACUGGGCGUAAAGCGUGCGCAGGCGGUUAUGCAAGACAGAUGUGAAAUCCCMGRGCUCAACUUGGGAACUGCAUUUGAGACGGCAUGCCUAGAGUACGGCAGAGGGGGAUGGAAUUCCGAGUGUAGCAGUGAAAUKCGUAGAUAUGCGGAGGAACACCGAUGGCGAAGGCAAUCCCCUGGGCCUGUACUGACGCUCAUGCACGAAAGCGUGGGGAGCAAACAGGAUUAGAUACCCUGGUAGUCCACGCCGUAACCGAGGUGGACGGGGUCUCGGCAGGUUUUCCGAACUGUCGGAAGGGCGGAAGCUCUCCGUAAAUUCGGAGCAAAAAAU